GGCAACUACCACAUUACCACCUAAUGACAAAAUCACAAUCACUUAGUUGCCAAACCAAUAGAAUGAUCUCUUUCGGGUUUAGGCUUUAUGUACGUUACAUCGCACAAGUGUUAGAGAUCGCUAAUUUAGCUAAUUUAACAAGAAAUCUUGAGAUUCUUAAUUGGAUAACGCAGAGAUUAAUUUCCUACGCGCGAUAAAUAUAAAAACACAGAAAUAUGUUUAUCUUGCGUAACAUUAUAUACACUUUGAUUAGGAUCUUUGAUAUACAAUCGAUAUUUUUAUGUCUGAAAACAAGAGAAACGAAGAUUAUGAAGAAGCUAAAUUGAGUAUGAAUAUAACGUAAACAAACAUCGGUGAAAAAGCAUGGAAAGAACGAGCUGUUAACCUUCAACUGGAGCUUUUAGAAUAAAAAGACAAGAUGACAUCUCUUUCUAUUUCGUACAUUCUUCUCCUUUUCCUCCAAACAUCUGUAAACUCAUCCCGAGCUUCACGUAAUUGAACUUUUAUUUCAUAAACACUACAAAUUAUAUAUUAUACCGCGACUAUAAAAGCAGAAAUACAAAAUGUUGCAUCAAACACAGUUGCUUUUCGCCGGAUAUGCAAAAGUCAAUCUCAAACUAACGGCUUAAUCAAUUAAUGUCGAUGACAUAACGCUGGACAGACUAUUUGUUGAACGACAAACAUUCUAUUUCUCCAUGUGACUCGAUCGAGGGACGAGUAGAGUGGCUCAGUGUACGAAAAAAAAAGAACAGAAUUUAGAUUAGUUUUUUUUUUUUUACCAAA